rnacentral:rRNA from 1 species
GGGUUAAAAGGCGCGUACGGCGUCACCUAGAGAGUGGACUCCGCGGUGCAUUAGUUAGUUGGUGGGUAAAGGCCUACCAAGACAAUGAUGCAUAGCCGAGUUGAGAGACUGAUCGGCCACAUUGGGACUGAGACACGGCCCAAACUCCUACGGGAGGCUGCAGUAGGGAAUCUUCCACAAUGGGCGAAAGCCUGAUGGAGCAACGCCGCGUGUGUGAUGAAGGCUUUCGGGUCGUAAAGCACUGUUGUAUGGGAAGAACAGCUAGAGUAGGGAAUGACUUUAGUUUGACGGUACCAUACCAGAAAGGGACGGCUAAAUACGUG